UAUCUGGUUGAUCCUGCCAGUAGUCAUAUGCUUGUCUCAAAGAUUAAGCCAUGCAUGUCUAAGUACAAACCUUAAUAC
rnacentral:ncRNA from 1 species